UCCAACCUCUUCUCUUCGGUGGUUUCCCAUGCUUCUUCUCCCCUUUUUCUUCAUCUCCCUCUCUCAGAAAAUGUGUUGCUUAUCUUCCUUCUCUUUAACCCCAUCCGCACCGUCCGCACCUUUCUUCUCUUCCUAUGCCCCUAUUAACUAUAUAAUCUAAACCCUCCUCCAAAUUUCCCCAAACCACUGCCUCUAAAUCCUAUUGCCCUUUCCUGAAUUAAGAUCUAGGUUUCUUAGCUCGAUUUCAUUUCAUCAUUCUCAUCAGUUCUUAUCCUCAAUUGACUUUCUGAGGUUGUUUCUUUGGCAGGUUGUUGAAAUGAAGAGGGCAGCAUACUAUAAUACUGUUUCUGUCCCACAAGUUCAGGAACAAUGGCCUAUCAAAAAAGCCCUUACAUUGUCUGAUGUGGAUAUUACUCAUCCAUUCCUAACUCUGUCCAGGCAGCAAGUUGAUAAUCACAUUAUUGUGCACAUGACACAGCAGCAACAGGAUCAUUUGAGAGCUGUAGGCCAGGUGGAUUUCAAUGCAAGAGAUGAUGACACUGGUGAAAUGUAUGUGAUGAAGUUGAAGUGGCGUGGGAGUUAUUAUAAUCUGAUUGGCAAAUGGGGAAAAGUUGUUCGAGGAAAGGGACUUGAUGUUGGUCAAGAAAUUUAUAUAAGGUGGGCUAAUGGCUGCUUGUACUUUUCGGUCCCUCAACAGCAGAUUGUCGCUGUACCACCUAUUCGGAUGGUCGCAGCACCACCAGUGCAGGACCAGUGGCCUAUUAAAAAGGUGUUAACGCUGUCUGAUGUGGACACCAAUCAUCCUUUUCUCCCUUUGCCUCGCCGAUUGGUUGAAGAUCAUAUUCUUUAUUACUGGUCACAGGAACAACGAGAAGUAUUGAGAAGGGAAGAGCAGGUAAAUGUGAACGCCAGAGAUUAUGAUACUGGUGAAAUUUAUUUGAUGAAAUUGAAGUGGAGGGGUAAUUACUACAACCUCAUUGGCAAAUGGGGAACAAUAAUUCGACAGAAGGGACUGGGUGUUGGGAAAGAGAUCAAUUUGCGAUGGUUGAAUGAAUGCUUAUACUUCUCAGUUCCUCAGCAGCGAUAUGUUGCAACGGCAUCAGGACAGGAUAAUUGGCCUAUUAAGAAGGCGCUCACGUUGUCUGAUGUGGAUACUAAUCAUCCAUUUCUUACUUUACCUGGCAAGGCUGUUGAAGAUCAUAUUCUGUUCUACUGGCAGCCUCAGGCCCGUGAGCAGUUGAGGAAUGAGCAUCAGAUAAGUGUUAAUGCUCGGGAUGAAGACACAGGUGAUCUAUAUUUGAUGAAGCUCAAAUGGAGAGGAAGUUAUUACAAUCUGAUUGGCAAAUGGGGCAAAAUUGUCAGAGGCAAGAGACUUCAGGUUGGAAGUGAAAUCAGACUUCGUUGGGACAAUAACUGCUUGCUUUUCUCAGUUCCUCAGUGAUGCUGUUCAAUGGCUGUUAUUGGAAUUUUCAGGAUGGCCUAAUAGAGAUGGAGCAUAUAUUCUAGAUGAAAGGUUUUACAAAAAGCUAUGUGGAAGCUGCUUCUAUAACAAGGUGUUCUAUAUCCAAUAAAAAUGAUAAUUCUGCUUCUACUUUGGAAGGAGUUUCUGUUGGCUGAUAAUGUUGCUUCAAAGAAGGCUCCAGCGGAUGCUAUACUUGUGGACUUUGGUGAACUUAAUUGACGAACUGUUUGCAAGAUGUCUUGGGUUUCAUGCUUAGUAGCAGUAACCAAAAAAUGAAAAAAAAAAAGAAAAGAAAAGUGCUGUGCUAUUCUUGCAAUGACUUCCACUGGGUUCACUUGCUGAAACCUGCUUGUUGCCUUUGGAGUGACCAGCUGCUGAUGAUGCUCGACAUGCAGUGAUUCUAAGUGACAUUUUUUGAGAUUUCUCUAUAACAUGUUUUGCUGAAGCCUCCUUCCUUUUACUGGACCAAGCAAUGGCAUAAUUAAUAUCCUCCGCAAUCUUUAGGAAGUUCAGCUUUUACCAAUGUAAAUAUUGCACAUAAGUUGUAGAAGCCCUGAUUAGUAGGUUCUGGAAAAUUUAUAAUUUGGCAAACUUAGUGGUACGCUUUUUGGAAUCUCUUAUUCAAGAAGUCCAAGUGAUAUUUUUACGUGGUAUUGAGGGUCUGUCAAGUUUAUUCAGUGGCGUAAGGGAUUCUUUCAAUGCACUCCAUGUGGCGAGAGUUUGGCUUCCAUGCACAAUAUGUGCAUAUGAAGAACCUUUCCAGGUUAGCAAGGCAGAAUUUGUCGAUUGCGAAUAGUUGCAAUCGCAGUUGUUUCCAAAAAGUUUGCUAAUAGAUUGAGCUUGUUCCAUCUCUUUUUAAGUUUUGCAAAAACCUGAAGGCGUGCAAAGUCACUGGAUUUUAAGUUACUGAAGGCAGCAGCUCUAAAGAGAGGAUUUUCUUCUUGUGCAUGGUGGCUGAAGAUAAUCUUAUUCGACUGCUCGGUGAGACAGGAUUUCAGGUAACAGUUGUUGAACUUGAUGAUGGUUCCAAGUGCAAUGAGGCUGCUUAAAAGUUGUCAGCUAAGCAACACAUUUGUACCGCUCAUCUGUCUCUUUGGUGUCAUCAUGUUAAAUGUGAGAUCUCUCUUUCAUGUCAGUAUCUUGGAUAUGUUGCAUUCCUAGGAGCGGAGGAUGUUUUGAAGGUCUGGAUGGCUCUUCUUCAUUGAUGCCUUGCUGUGCUGAAAGUUGUGGACUUGGUUGAUUGUGCCGAGUACGAGUUGUGAGAAAAAGUUCAUCGAUACAAUCACUUAUUUCUGGUUGAAUGAACCUGGACUAUCCAUCUGCAUGCGUUCUGGAGCUGAGAUGUUGUUACACGCCUUUGGCAUAUUCGUUUACUAGUUUAUAAUGGCUCUGGGAGUUUUCAGGCUCAGAUUGUCCGAGUAUCCCAUGUACUUUGCUGUUUUCAUUCCUGUGCUCUUUAAAGGUUUCACAACUGGCUGCAAAAAUCAUCUGUGGAAAUCAUCCACAUCUUCUUCCCUUUGGCAGUCAUUUUGAGUGAAUUGCGUCUGGUCAGUUGCUGAAUUUGAGAUGGAUGGUAAGAGGGACACAGAAAUGCAGUUUCUUCCUUGUGUUGACGACAGAUUGCGCAGGGUAUGAACUAUGAAUAGAAAGAAUGGCAAAUUUUGGUUUGUAAAGAGUUUUGUAGGUGUCAAGCGUCCUUGGCGAAGAUCAUAUUUAUGCUAACUUCUAAAAAAAAAAAAUCAUUUUAUACUGCCGAGAGAUGAUGUCAAUGGAGGAGCUCCUUGUACGGUUGGAAUGUCCAUCCAUCUUCUUCUUAUAUGCCAUGCCGAAGAUGAGAUCACAUCCAUUCAUUUGUUGAAAUGAAAUGACCUCACAAAUUAUUUGUAUU